GCACCGGUAGAAGAGAAAUUGGCAUGGCUAUGAUUUCCAGUUUUAUACUCCUAUCAAAUGUUGAUUUACAGCUUCUUCUUUUUUUUUGAUGCCUAGGACUUGAGCGUUAGCUAGGAGACCUGUAGCAGGGGCUCUAUCCAUGCCCCAACUUUGGAUCUUUUGAGGAUUUAGAAAUUCUGCAUGUUGUUCACUGAUUUAGAAGUGCUGGACAGGAGGACCUGCAGUUAGGAUUGAUCUUGGGACCAUAUGUACUCAUGUGUUGGAUUUUGGAGAUGACACCAUCUCAUGUGGUUAUUGCGAGUGUUUUUAAUGAAGCUUAGCAAGGACAUUAAUUCUGAUGAGGCAGUUGCACUGGAUGUCGCUGCCAUAGCUGACACGAUGAUUAGUGACGAAGGUGGUGGAAUGAUUAAUGUGAUGCCACUGGAUAUUACUUCUGAAGACCUUAGUAGUGGGAAUUAGACUGUUCUAUCUCCAAAAAAUACAAGCUGUCCUUGACUUGGUAUUGAUCCAAGUGUUUCAGAUUAGGGUGCUGGUCCCUGGCAUAUGAUUGCCAGGGAGGGGUUAAGUAACACAUGGUUUUCUGGCUGUCGGAUGCAUAUCUAGCGGCCAGGAUUAUAACAUUUUUCUUAAGACGUCUAGCAGUUUUUAACCGCUAGACGCUAGACAGAUUUUCCCCUUCUAGCGGUUAAAAACCGCUAGACGUGUUAAAAUUUUGUUAUAAUCCUGGCCGCUGGAUAUGCAUCCAACGGCCAGAAAACCAUAUGCCAGUUAAUCAGUCCACAGCCAUCGAUGGCUGUGGACCAGGACCCUUCAGAUUAUGCCUUGUUACAAUAUGAAUGUGUAUUAUAUCGAAAAUAUAAUUACAGAUUA